rnacentral:rRNA from 1 species
GACGAACGCUUGCGGCGUGCUUAACACAUGCAAGUCGAACGGAAAGGCCCUGCUUUUGUGGGGUGCUCGAGUGGCGAACGGGUGAGUAACACGUGAGUAACCUGCCCUUGACUUUGGGAUAACUUCAGGAAACUGGGGCUAAUACCGGAUAGGAGCUCCUGCUGCAUGGUGGGGGUUGGAAAGUUUCGGCGGUUGGGGAUGGACUCGCGGCUUAUCAGCUUGUUGGUGGGGUAGUGGCUUACCAAGGCUUUGACGGGUAGCCGGCCUGAGAGGGUGACCGGCCACAUUGGGACUGAGAUACGGCCCAGACUCCUACGGGAGGCAGCAGUGGGGAAUAUUGCACAAUGGGCGGAAGCCUGAUGCAGCAACGCCGCGUGCGGGGUGACGGCCUUCGGGUUGUAAACCGCUUUCGCCUGUGACGAAGCGUGAGUGACGGUAAUGGGUAAAGAAGCACCGGCUAACUACGUGCCAGCAGCCGCGGUGAUACGUAGGGUGCGAGCGUUGUCCGGAUUUAUUGGGCGUAAAGGGCUCGUAGGUGGUUGAUCGCGUCGGAAGUGUAAUCUUGGGGCUUAACCCUGAGCGUGCUUUCGAUACGGGUUGACUUGAGGAAGGUAGGGGAGAAUGGAAUUCCUGGUGGAGCGGUGGAAUGCGCAGAUAUCAGGAGGAACACCAGUGGCGAAGGCGGUUCUCUGGGCCUUUCCUGACGCUGAGGAGCGAAAGCGUGGGGAGCGAACAGGCUUAGAUACCCUGGUAGUCCACGCUGUAAACGGUGGGUACUAGGUGUGGGGUCCAUUCCACGGGUUCCGUGCCGUAGCUAACGCUUUAAGUACCCCGCCUGGGGAGUACGGCCGCAAGGCUAAAACUCAAAGGAAUUGACGGGGCCCCGCACAAGCGGCGGAGCAUGCGGAUUAAUUCGAUGCAACGCGUAGAACCUUACCUGGGUUUGACAUGGAUCGGGAGUGCUCAGAGAUGGGUGUGCCUCUUUUGGGGUCGGUUCACAGGUGGUGCAUGCCUGUCGUCAGCUCGUGUCGUGAGAUGUUGGGUUAAGUCCCGCAACGAGCGCAACCCUUGUUCACUGUUGCCAGCACGUUAUGGUGGGGACUCAGUGGAGACCGCCGGGGUCAACUCGGAGGAAGGUGGGGAUGACGUCAAGUCCUCAUGCCCCUUAUGUCCAGGGCUUCACGCAUGCUACAAUGGCUGGUACAGAGAGUGGCGAGCCUGUGAGGGUGAGCGAAUCUCGGAAAGCCGGUCUCAGUUCGGAUUGGGGUCUGCAACUCGACCUCAUGAAGUCGGAGUCGCUAGUAAUCGCAGAUCAGCAACGCUGCGGUGAAUACGUUCCCGGGGCU